CGUUUACCUGUCUUGGUUGCAGUCUGGACAAUAACCAUCAAUGUUAUCAUUGGACCUAUAAAAAUUCCAUAUUUCACAUCUUGGUAGGAAUAUGUACACUGAUUUACCAUUCAUUUACAGAGCCUUUUUGUGCGAUUACAUCC